ACGUUAUUCUUCUUUUUUGAUAUUGAAAAAAAAAAUACCGUGAGGAAUCUUUGAAGUUGAUGUUUGUUUUCUCAUCAUCCAAAACUUCUUAAUAAUCGACUGAUCAAUCAACAGCUAACCUUCGAUAAUUUCAAAGGUAGAAUGAGAAAUUUUAGCAGCCAUCAAAGAAAAAAGGAAUUCGCCUCCUUCAAACUUAGAUGAGGAGCCGCCGUGAUAAGAGCAUUCUCAAAUAACUGUUACAGAAGAUAGUGGAAAGAUGUGAAGUUAAAAAGUGGAAGCUAUGAUCAUAGAAAUGCCGAUGCUUGCGGUCGACAGCAAGUGUCCCCAAGAUACAUCAGCUAAGUUGAAUUCGAUAUGUUGCACCACAUGCCGAUGUUCCGACGAACUACGUAUAUUUGGGAUUGUAUAUUACUCUUAUGACUCGAACUAUAUGCAACGACUAAGUUGAACUCAAUAUGCUGCACGACAUGUCGAUGUUUCGGCGAACUACUCAAUAUUCAGGACUGGAUAUUUCUCCUAUGACUUGAACUAUAUGUAAAAUAUGAUCGGCGGUUGGGUUCAAAUGACAAUUCCCCUAACCUUUGGGGAGUCGACGUUAGAACAUUCGAAUACGAUCGAGCAUAUGCGAGCUGUUGGGUUCGAAUGGGUGCAUCCUCUAACUAUGACUAGCACAAAAGUCUUACUAGAGUGCAUCAUAGUAGUCCACACCUGAUUAUCUUCUUCUAAAGAGACAAGGCUUAUAAAUGAUAUUGGAGACUUGUUUUUUUUUUUUUUUUUGGUCAAUGUGGGAUACUUAAUUCCCCACAUUCCUAAGCAUUAAUUGCUUAUUCGUUACAACUUGAAAAUAAACAAUCAAUUAUAUUAAAUGUAUGUCCUGAAGACGUAGAUUCCAAAUCUACAAUUAAGUCUCAGCGAAUCGACCAUAAUUAUUUAUGGAUUUACAACCUUUAUAACUAAUUUUUCCAACAGACAGUAAGUAAAAUCAUCUCUUAGGCCUUAACUAGAUUGGAAAAUCAUUGCA